rnacentral:lncRNA from 1 species
AUGAAAUCAUGGACAGGCACCGUGGGGCCUCUGAGGCCGCCCCCAGGUCACACUGUCACCGCAUCGCAAUGCAGUGCCAUCACGAACCGAUAUUGCAUCAGGCCCCAAGAUAUUUUAGGAAGCUCUCCGGCGGAGGCCGCACGCAGCCAUCAGGGCCACACUGCCAGACUCUGGGCUGCAGAGCCGCUGGACAGGUGGCAGUGGGGCCUCUCCAAUCUCCGCUCAGGGACCAUUCCCUCUCCCCAGCCCCAAGCCAGGCAGGCCCCCUGGGGGGCUUCCCCAGCCUUCUCCUCGCCCAGCUCCCAGGUGCACUGCCUGCGUUUCCCCUGGAGACUGCAGUGCCCCGGCCCACCUCCGGCCUCCUGGUGUAGUUCCUGUCUGCCUGCCCGUCCUGGGUCACCCGUGUUUGCUCAGAGGAGCUGCGAAUCAGCUGACUUCCCCAUGGAGUUGCAGUGGCUGCCACCCGCCCAGGCCUCCGACUUGGGUGUCGGCACGUGGCAGGCCAGGCCGACUUGCUGCACUUGGGUGAACUUUCCCCAGCCCCUCCAGAUCUCCCGGCACAACCCGGCACACCCCAGGCAGCCAGCAACCCGCGUAUCCCCUGCCCCCAGCCAGCGCCCCAUUCCCAGCCGCGCUCCUGCGAGCCAGCCGCCCGCUGACUCCAGUUCCUUCCGCUGCAUUGUUCUCGCUGCCGACGGCAGGGCCGGGAGGCCCACCUCCGCGCUCCCCGGCACGGUUCAUUCCCCACUGCUGGCUCCUGCAGUUUUAUUACAGCCUGCUGGUUUCCAAGAUGACAGACAGAAGGGUCCAGUGUGCACUGCACCGGUGAAGGCCUCUUUGUGUAGGAACGAAACCUUAGGGCAGAGUGGGCCCGGCUCCAGGGGCGGCCGUCACCCUGCUACAGGCGGGGACUGUGCUGGGACCCCCUGGGGCUGUGCCCUGCUGGCUGGCGGGCUGGCUGGCUCCCCAGGGGCUCUCCCGGAGCCAAGGCCGCCGCCCUCCAGGUGGAGGGUAGACUUGUCCCAUUCCAUUUGGAAGAGGGGAGGGGAAUGCAAAGGGGGAGGGGUCGCUUGCAGGAGACCUGUGCUAUACAGGACCUCCUCCCUUCCCGGAGUGGCUCUCUAA